GUUCUGUGACGGCGUACCUUUUGUAUAAUGGGUCAGCGACUUAUGUUCAGUGGCGAGGUUAACCGUUUAGGGGAGCCGUAGGGAAACCGAGUCUGAAUAGGGCGAAUUAGUCGCUGGGCAUAGACCCGAAACCGGGCGAUCUAUCCAUGAGCAGGUUGAAGGUGCCGUAACAGGCACUGGAGGACCGAACCCAC
rnacentral:rRNA from 1 species